ACAGGGGCCUGCUCAUUCCCGGCAUGCUGUGCGUCUCCUCUGGAAGGACUGGGCGUGCCCGGCGUGCUGUGCGUCCCCUCCGGAAGGACUGGGCGUGCCCGGCGUGCUGUGCGUCUCCUCCGGAAGGACUGGGCGUGCCCGGCGUGCUGUGCGUCCCCUCCGGAAGGACUGGGCGUGCCCGGCGUGCUGUGCGUCUCCUCUGGAAGGACUGGGCGUGCCCGGCGUGCUGUGCGUCCCCUCCGGAAGGACUGGGCAUGCAGUCUGUAGAGUCCGUCCACACGAAGAAGACUCCCAUCCACACCUUCCAGGUGGACCACCUGCUACAUGGAGUUAGAAGCCAGGAAUCACGUGACUGCCCGCCCAAUCGUGACCCAUCACAGGCUCUGUGCACAAGGCACAGACAUUUAAAGUCAUUUUUAUUGAGGCGUGAUUUGGGGUGUCCUGAUAAGAAGAGGAGCUGAGGACACAGACAUGUCCAGCGGGACCUUGGGAGGACAUAGAGGGAAGACGCCUUCUGCAAACCACUGAGAGAGGCCUCGAGGAACCAGCCCUGGCCGACACCUUGAUAUGGGACUUCCAGCCUCCAGGACGGUAAAACACUUAGUCCAAACAGAUGCAGGGACCUGCCAAUGGGAUAUAAACGUAACAUCCAUGCUUGAGAAUGGAUUCUUUCACUCUCAUCCCUUUGCACAGAAGACUCCAGGCAGAAAAAUUAUACAGACCACAUUUAUUCUACUUCUUCCAUUGUUCCAAAAGUUGAUACUUGGGAUCCAUUGAGAUGCGGUCUCUACCUGGCCUCCCCCAUGUUGACUGCUUUUGUACUGCACCCAUGGAGACAAAGAAAAGACAAAGAAGACGGAACCUCCAUGUUGAAUAUACCUGGUUCCAGGGCGAGGUUCAGCAAUUACAAUAGUGACAUCAGAGAUCGCUGAUAACAGAUCAUCAUCACAGAUGUGAUAACAAGAAAAAAAUGAGAUAUUUUUAUCAUUGAUGUGAUGGCAAAUAUUGAGUAUCAACUUGAUUGAAUUGAAGGAUGCAAGGUAUUAUUCCUGGGUGUGUCUGUGAGGGUGUUGCCAAAGGAGGUUAACAUUUGAGUUGGUGAACUGGGAAAGGCAGACCCACCCUCAGUCUGGGUGGGCACCAUCUAAUCAGCUGCCAGCAUGGCUAGGAUAAAAGCAGGCAGAGGAAGGUGGACGGACUAGACUUGUUAAGUCUUCUGGCCUCCAUCUUUCUCCUGUGCUGGAUGCUUCCUGCCCUCGAACAUUGGACUCCAAGUUCUUCAGCUUCUGGACUCUUGGACCUACACCAGUGGUUUGCAGGGGCUCUCGGGCCUUUGACCACAGACUGAAGGCUGCACUGUCGGCUUCCCUACUUCUGAGAUUUUGGAACUUGGACUGGCUUCCUUGCUCCUCAGCUUGCAGAAGGCCUAUUGUGGGCCUUCACCUUGUGAUCAUAUGAGUCAAUUCUCCUUAAUAAACUCCGUUUCAUAUAUACAUCUAUCCGAUCAGUCCUGUCCCUCUAGGGAACCCUGACUAAUACAAUUGUCAAAAUGUGACACAGAGGCACAAAGUGAGCACCUGCUGUAGGAAAAAUGGUGCUGAUAGACUUGACUCAGGGUUGCCACAAAAUUCAGUUUGUAAAAAACACAGUAUCUGCAUAAUGCAAUAAAAGAAGAUAGGCAUGCCAUAUUCUUCAUGAUUUUCAUGGGAAUAUAGUGUAUCUUUAGAGAGCACUGUCCAUUUAUAAUAAUCCUACACUUAAAUAAACAUUUUUCAUUACCCUUUCUAAAAAUAAUUUUAGUAGUUCAGUUUAAUUGCUAUUUUAUCUAUUGAAGGUUCAUUAAUUAAACUCAAUAAGUUACUUAAAAAAAAAUCCUUAUUGUUGAUAAUGCCUGAAAUUAAUGCACUCUGGAGUAUCUGUUUACAAGAUGAAACUGUCGUACUAAUUAUAACUAAAACAAACACUUUACCUCAAGCCUCUCACUUAGCCAAAAAGUGACCUAUUAUGGGAAAACACACAAACAAAGUGAUAGUUACUGAGCCCAAAACUUAAUAAAUGGAAGUGAAGAGUUCCGAAAAAGGGCUGUAUGUUACAAACGAUCUUUGAAAGCAACAGUGUUAGGAAUGCAAUUAUAACAUUUGCACAGUGACUCUUUUGUUAUUUAGUAUCUUACGUAUUUUUUCAUUUGAUCCAAACAAUUGCCCAGCUAGGAAGUUUUUCUGAGUAUGAUUCUCUUUUUUUUUUAAAUAUCAUGUAAACCAAGAUUCUAGGAAAAAAAAAAAGACUCAAAUCUAACAUCAUCAUUGUGAAAGAGGUAAGACUUGAAUUUGUAUUUCUUAUCACUUUUUUUUCAUAAAACUCUUUCUGUUCCCACAGGUGGCCUUUUCUAAUAACCAGUAUCACAACGGGCCUUCUUAAUGUGGGUUUUUAAAACCACAAACAAAAACCAUUAGCUUCAAACCUUUGAAGACUACUUAAAAAUAAAUGCGCAUAAUUCUAGGGGGAAUAGUCUCACCAAAUAAUCAUUUGCAAAGCCCUUUGUAAUUAAGUACAGGGGACAUUACUGGGAUGCAAUGUUCCGUAAAGAGCUCGACUGUUGUUCUUGCAAGAAUGCACCCAAACAAUGAUAAUAAGUGAAACAAUGAUUGAUAAAAUGAUAGCAAUGCUCAAUUUCCAAAUCAGAAUUUGCCUGCCAAUUGAUGUCGGAAAGAACAUCCUUUUCUGAGAACUGGCGUCCUCUUAGAAAGGUUUUUGAAGGGCAAAGGUCUGGUCUUCAUCAUAUCGCUCAGUUUUCUUUUUUCUUUCAUUAUAAGUAUCCUCGUAGGAUAAAUUUUAAUCUGAACCUAAACUAAUUCCCUGUCAAACAAACUAGAAAUGAAAACUUUUACAAAGGUACUAAAGGGCAACCCUUGGAACGAACUCUCUUUGGUUAUGCCUAGACUAGAAAAAAGCUAUUUUUAUUAGGUACAGAAGUAGACCUGAGUGUUGGACUCUGGAAUAGGCACCACCUUGCCCAGGCAGAGAGGAAAUGAGCAUGACUCUUCCUCAGUCAGUGAUAUUAACAAGCCGAAGGCAGCAGAAGACUGAUCAAGGCAGAAGGGUGACUGGUUUAUGAAAGAGCUGAACUAUUUAUUAGCCCACAUUAAUCUCACAUACAAAUAAAUAUAUGUGAAAAUUUAGAGUAAGAAACUUGAGGCCAGCUCCUAGAUGUGCAGUUUACAGAGCAAAGUUCCACUAAAAUUCUGCGUCACUCUCUGUGUGAGUCAUUUAUUUAAUUUUUAAACAAGCAUAAGGUGUCUUUGUGUUCACUCAAUGUAUCAGGCAUUGUUUUGAACACCUAAUCAAAGAAAGCAGAGAUGUGAUGUCUGCCCCCAUAGGAGGUUAUUGACCAGUUGCACUGACAGCUGAAAUAUCCACAAGCCUGAGACACGUCCUGGGCCACGGUCGUGGUAGGAACAGCAUGCUGUGGAAACAGGCGGGUGACACACCACGUCAAUCUGGACCUUUCUAAGGCUUCCUGGGGGAGGUGACACUCCGGAUGGGAUACAGAAGAUCAAACAGAGACUAUUUAAGAGUGUGAGAACAGAGACCAGGUAAGAACAUGGAGAGUAUGAGAAUGCCAAACGCAAGGUGAGGUAGGCCUGGUGCAAAUGUGCUAAGUCUUAAAAAGUUAGGGUGAACGCAGACUCCCAGGCCUCGAUGAAAGCCAAGAACUCAGAUCAUUCAUAUGAAUGCUAAUAAAAUAGGCAGGAGAGGUAAAGAGGAGGGUUCAGAAAAUAAACAUAUUCGCAUAUCAUCAACAACCUGAUCGAUCAAAAAUGACUAGGAAUGGUAUGUAUUCAAUUGCUGAGGCUGGGAAGGAUCAUGAAAUCUCAGACACGCUCAUGGAUUGUCAUUUUACAAAAGGGCUGAAUUGUGCAUUUAUAUGCUCAUAAUAAUAUAGUAAUAUAUAAUAUAAUAUAAAACUUGUAUAUAUAUGCUCAUAAAAAUGUGUAAUAUGUAUGCUCAUAAUAAUAUAGGUAAUAUUACAUAUUACAUAUUACCUAUAUUAUUACCUAUACCUGUGUAAUAAUUGUAUAAUUAUCACAUGCAUGCUCAUAAUGUCAUAUAUAUGCUUAUAAUAAUAUAGGUAAUAUAUAAUAUAAUAUAAUACCUGUGUAAUAAUUUAUAAUUAUCAUAUGUAUUUUCAUAAUAAUAUGUCAUAUAUAUGUUCAUAAUAAUGUAGGUAACAUAAUAUUAUAAUACCUGUGUAAUAAUUGUAUAAUUAUUAUAUGUAUGCUUAUAGUAAUAUGUCAUAUAUAUGCUCAUAAUAAUAUAAGUAAUAGAUAUUAUAAUACCUGUGUAAUUGUAUAAUUAUCAUAUGUAUGCUCAUAAUAAUAUGCCAUAUAUAUGCUCAUAAUAAUAUAGGUAAUAUAUAAAAUUAUAGUAUAUGCGUGUGUAAUAAUUCUAUAAUUAUUAUAUGUGUGCUCAUAAUAAUAUAUAAUAUAUGCUCAUAAUAAUAUAGGUAAUAAACACUAUUAUAAUACACUGUUAUAAUACAGUUGUGCAAACAUUGUAUAAUAAGUAAUCAUAUAUAUGUUAAUAAUAAUCUCCAAAAGUAAAUAUGAUAAUUUCCCCAUCUUACAUAGAAUUGGAAACUAAGUCAAGAGCAGUUAAAAGACCUGCUCGAUGUCACAAGGCAAGUCGCAGGGGCCCGGGGUUUGUACACAGGCAGUGUUUCUCCAGCGUCUGUGCACGUACUCACCAUAUCCCUCCUUCUUUCCGUGUGGAUGCAUGCUGCUUUUGAGCGAGAGUUUGGCAUUUUUCAUAAGAGUCAAAGAAAAGCACCUGAGAUGCGUCAGGGCCCACCGCCGGCGCUGAGGAUGGAACAGUGAACACAGCAAGCCACGUCCUUCCUCCUAGGGCCCAUAUUCUGAUGGAAGGAGUCAGACGAAAGGCAGAGAAAUGCAAUAGAAAAUCGAAUACUGCAUGUGAUGAUUGAUAAGUGAAAUCUAAACAUUGGGUACUCGUGGACACGAAGAGGGGAACAACAGACGCUGUGGACAACUAGAGCUACGGGUGGAAAAGUCUCAAGCCACCAGCUCAGCAGCUGCAUCUUCAAGGAGGCAUCUGGCAGGGAGGCUGCAGCUGGAGCACUGAUUGGCGACAUUCAUCACAGCUCACUGUCGUGCUCUGGGAUCUGGCUGGUCUUUAAAGGAUACAUCUGCUGAGACCUGCUGGCCACUUCCAUGUCUUUGUUUUCAUCCCCUUUUGCUGCUAUAACAAAACACUUCAGACUGGGUAAUUUGUGAAGAACAGAAAUUGAUUGUUGGCAGCUAGGAAGGCUGGGAAGUCCAAGAGCAAGGCACCUGCAGGUUCAGAGUAAGGUGAGGGCUGCUGUCUGCUUCUAGACGGUGCCUUGUUGCUGCAUCCUCCAGGGGGAAGGAACCCUGUGUCCUCACAUGGCAGAAGGCGGAGGAACUUAAUCAUUCCCCAGAAGGACAACCUUUCCCCAACACCAGCGUGCGGAUUAAGUUUUAACUUGAAUUUUCAAGGGCACACCCAUGGAAACCCCAACAUUCUUCUUUUGAGAAAUGUCUAUUCUGGUUCUCUGCUCAUUUUCUAAUUUGGUAUUUGAUUUCUGUCUAUUCAGCUGUCUGAGCUCCUUAAAUAGUUUGGAUAUUAACUCAUUAAAACACAUUGCUAAAUUGUACAAGGUUUGAACUAUAAAGGGUAUAUCAUACUGUAUACUAUCUGUUAAAAUUUGCUUUUAUAUUCAGCAUUGUGCUAAUAAGGGUUAUACAAAUUUUUGCCUGGAGCUGUGAGUUAUUCAUCUUAAAUGCUCUAUCAUAUUUCAUGAUUUGAUUAUAUUAUGUUUUAUUUAUCCAUUAUUCUGUCAAUGGAAGGUUUUCAACUUUUUUUUUUUUUUUUUGAGAUGGAGUUUCGCUCUUGUUGCCCAGGCUGGAGUGCAGUGGCGCGAUCUCAGCUCACCGCAACCUCCGCCUCCCGGCUUCAAGUGAUUCUCCAGCCUCAGCCUCCCGAGCAGCUAGGAUUACAGGCAUGCACUACCACGCCUGGCUAAUUUUGUAUUUUUAGUAGAGAUGGGGUUUCUCCAUGUUGGUCAUGCUGGUCUCAAACUCCCAACCUCAGGUGAUCCGCCUGCCUCAGCUUCCCAAAGUGCUGGGAUUACACACGUGAGCCACCACGCCUGGCUGUUUUUCAACUUUUUGAACGGUAAAGAGACCACUCUAAAUGUUCGCCUGGAUGUUUGUCCUGGAUAUAAAUCAAGGAAUGGGGUAAACUGGCUACAUAAUCUACACAUCAUUAACUUCACAAGAUAAUGUCACAUUUUAUCACAAAAUGCUUUCACAAAGUUUACUAUCACUGAGAUUGUGCCUGAGACAUGAUAAACUAAAAUAUUUAGUACAGCUGAGUAUUAUCAUAUUUGUUACUUUUGCCAACAUAACAGGUGUAAAUGUAUAUUUUUAUCUCUCUGUGUAAAUGAUUGUAAACAUCUCUUUUUAUGCCUAUUAGCCAUAUAUAUUUCUUUGUGAAAUAUCUAUUCAUGUUUUUGACCAUUGUUUUCUUUGGUUUUUAUUUUUCUUAUCAAAUUUCAGAAUUUUUCUGUAUUGUUUACACCAGGCCUUUGGGAGUUAUGCAUGUGGCAAAUGGCUUCUUGCCUUCUUGUCUUGUUUUCUGGUGUGUGGGGUGCUUUUAAUAUUCUUAAUGGGUACUUUUAUGAAUAGAAAAUCUUAAUUAGAAUUGAUUCAUAUUGAUUGAUCUUUAUUAUUUACACAUUUGUACUGAAAUAAAUAUUUUAAUAUCAGAACUUAGAACUUUAAAAAGUUAGUAAAAUGUACAUAUAUAUGCAUACAUAUAUGUUACUUUUUUCUCUAUAAAAUUUUUGGUUUUGCCUUCAACAUUUAAAUUACUUUUCUGGUUUAAAUGUAAAUAUAUGAUGUAGGGUGAGAACCACAUUUUCACUUUUUUAACAUGAAUAAUUAUUUUUUCACCUCUAUUUUUCAACAGCUUCUCUUCUUCAGCAACCUAUCAUGUCGUCACUGUUAUAUAUUAAGGUUUCAGAUAUAUUUCUGUGCUUUCUAUGUUAUAAUUUUUGUGCAUUCAUAUGUCCCCAAUACAAUCUCUCUUAAACAAUAAUAAUUUCAAAGUAAUUUAUUUUACUUCUCUUCUUUGGAGGAAUAUUUCUAUUCUUGACUUUUUAACUUUCAAUAUAAAUUUAAAAAUUGAUUUGUGAAAUUUCACACAACGUAUGUACACAGAUCAUGAUACAUAUGC
rnacentral:lncRNA from 1 species